GGGGAACCAGGACUUUUACUUUGAAAAAAUUAGAGUGCUCCAGGCAGGCCUAUGCUCGAAUACAUUAGCAUGGAAUAAUAGAAUAGGACGUGUGGUUCUAUUUUGUUGGUUUCUAGGACCGCCGUAAUGAUUAAUAGGGACAGUCGGGGGCGUCAGUAUUCAAUUGUCAGAGGUGAAAUUCUUGGAUCUAUUGAAGACUAACUACUGCGAAAGCAUUUGCCAAGGAUGUUUUCAUUGAUAAGGAACGAAAGUUAGGGGAUCGAAGACGAUCAGAUACCGUCGUAGUCUUAACUAUAAACUAUGCCGACUAGGGAUCGGACGAUGUUAUCUUUUGACGCGUUCGGCACCUUUCGAGAAAUCAAAGUGCUUGGGCUCCAGGGGGAGUAUGGUCGCAAGGCUGAAACUUAAAGAAAUUGACGGAAGGGCACCACCAGGGGUGGAACCUGCGGCUUAAUUUGACUCAACACGGGGAAACUCACCAGGUCCAGACACAGUGAGGAUUGACAGAUUGAGAGCUCUUUCUUGAUUCUGUGGGUGGUGGUGCAUGGCCGUUCUUAGUUGGUGGAGUGAUUUGUCUGCUUAAUUGCGAUAACGAACGAGACCU
rnacentral:rRNA from 1 species